GCCUGGCUGGCUCAGCGGAUAGAGCAUGUGACUCCAUUUCAGGGUUGUGAGUUCGAGCCCCAUGUUGGGCA
rnacentral:tRNA from 1 species